rnacentral:rRNA from 1 species
AGAGUUUGAUCCUGGCUCAGAGCGAACGCUGGCGGCAGGCUUAACACAUGCAAGUCGAACGGACCCUUCGGGGUUAGUGGCGGACGGGUGAGUAACACGUGGGAACGUGCCCUUAGGUUCGGAACAACACAGGGAAACUUGUGCUAAUACCGGAUGUGCCCUUUUGGGGAAAGAUUUAUCGCCUUUGGAGCGGCCCGCGUCUGAUUAGCUUGUUGGUGAGGUAAAGGCUCACCAAGGCUACGAUCAGUAGCUGGUCUGAGAGGAUGGCCAGCCACACUGGGACUGAGACACGGCCCAGACUCCUACGGGAGGCAGCAGUGGGGAAUCUUGCGCAAUGGGCGAAAGCCUGACGCAGCCAUGCCGCGUGGAUGAUGAAGGUCUUAGGAUUGUAAAAUCCUUUCAGCGGGGACGAUAAUGACGGUACCCGCAGAAGAAGCCCCGGCUAACUUCGUGCCAGCAGCCGCGGUAAUACGAAGGGGGCUAGCGUUGCUCGGAUUUACUGGGCGUAAAGGGCGCGUAGGCGGACAGUUAAGUUGGGGGUGAAAGCCCGGGGCUCAACCUCGGAAUUGCCUUCAAUACUGGCUGUCUUGAGUGUGAGAGAGGUGUGUGGAACUCCGAGUGUAGAGGUGAAAUUCGUAGAUAUUCGGAAGAACACCAGUGGCGAAGGCGACACACUGGCUCACUACUGACGCUGAGGCGCGAAAGCGUGGGGAGCAAACAGGAUUAGAUACCCUAGUAGUCC